UGCCUUCCCAAAAGGGUGGAAGAGUGUAGCUGCCACUAUUGUGUCUGCACACGGGUCUUCGAGAGAGCUUCGAGAACUGGCUGGUUUCUUUGUCCCUUCUGGUGACCUGAGCAAGCAUCCUUCCCCCGCUGUUUUAAGUGAUGAUGGUCCGUCCCUGCGCUCUCGGCAGGAAGGAUGGAGGAGUGGAGCAGUCCAUGCGUGCCCAACAGAACGAAGAGGAGGCAGCUGUGACAGGAGCAGGAGAAGGCUCGGGCUGGUAGAGGAGCAGGUUGUGCCCAGCAAGGCAGAGGCCCGAUGCAGCUUGGGGCACACACAGUAGAAGUCCCUGCUGGAUCCCAAGGCUGUGUUCCCGGCUCAGGCUGCACAUCCACCUCGCCCAGGGAAUGUUCUCCUGCACUCCGGGAGAGUCCAAGUCAGGAGGCUGAGGCCAGGUCAUGCUUCUAACAUGGAACCUGUAACCUGGGGCGUCUCUUGGUCUCCCGGAGCAGGCCUAAGGCAACCCUGGGACCCACGGGAAGGCUUCUUCCUCUGGAUGUUUUCAUAGAACAUUCUCUCUUGUUGUCCUUUCCUGAAAAAAUAAACAAAGUCCAGAGUUCA